rnacentral:siRNA from 1 species
AGAGGUCGUCGAUUCGAGUGACGC